rnacentral:misc_RNA from 1 species
CAUGAUCUCGUAGGUCUGCGCAUUCUUGAGCAUGCCGUCCUGAUGGAUGCCGCUCUCGUGCGCGAAGGCAUUACGCCCGACGAUGGCUUUGUUGUACUGCACCGGGAACGACGUCGCCGCCGCCACCGACUUCGAUGCCCGCGUCAGCAUCGUGGUGUCGAUGUUGUUCCAGUACGGCAACUUGUCGUUACGCACGCGCAUCGCCAUCACGACUUCCUCGAG